rnacentral:rRNA from 1 species
GUCAACUUUUACCUAACAAUGAUUGUCAGGAACUCUAAUAUAGUAACUAUUGUUACGGUGAAAUGUAAUCUAAAGCUGCCCUAUCUAUAUUUAAUAAAAUAGUAAUAAAAAACAAGGAUUAGAUACCCUUCUAUUUACUACAAAAUAAAGUUCCUGGGGGACUACAGCUUUCAAGCUAAAACCCAAAAAACAUGGCGGUAGUUCUAAAAAUUAGGGGAACUUAUCACAUAAAUGAUAACCACCAAGGUAAACCAAUUAUGAGUUAUUCUUGUAUGCCGUCGUCGUCAGAUAUUACAUAAUGUAAUAUCAAAAUAUAAUUAUUAAAAGACAGAUCAAGGUGCAGAUAAUCCCAUAAUGAUGGCGAGUUACAAUUUUAAUUUCUAUCAGAUAAUUAUGUAUAAUCAUUUUUAAAAGCAGGACUUAACAGUAAUUUUUAUUAUUUUUAUCAAAUGAAUUUURRGAAUUAUGCACAA